GACGAAAUAGUUACUAAUGAAGAACAAAUAAAAAAUUGGUCAAGCUUCAAAAUGGGCUACAUAGAGAGGGAUGGACAAUACAAGAACCUUUGUAACCUAGGAGACAAGUCUAAGAAUCUAAAAAUCAAGAAUGGGUAAUAUAACUAAAUUGCCAAUUCCAGCACCAUACAAAAUUAUAGAAGGUCUACUUACCUUUGAUGCUAU
rnacentral:lncRNA from 1 species